AGAGAGAGAUCUUCAGAUUUCUUGCUCUCAUGGAAGUGAAAUUGAUCAUAUCAAUGACUAUAAAUAGUCAAAACUGUAACUUUAGCUUGUUGGUAGUUCUCAAAUUCUUGAUGUCGCUAGUGUCAUUUAUUAUUUUCUGUAUUUUGUAUACUUCUAAUGUAUUUCUUGUGACCAUUGGCAAGCAUAAAAACACAUGGAACUGAACUAAAUAGAAGGUCAUGACUCAUGUUUACAAUGCAAUACUUGUAUUGUGUCCAUCACAGAGAAAAUAAAAUUUGUCCACAAUUCUUUUCAUUCACACCAAUAAUUUAAAAGGAAUCCCUCCUACAUUCCUAUUUCUUUCAUUUCACACUAAAGGUCAAUAUUUUGUUGUGAGGAUCCUUAAAAUUACCAGAAUUCAAGAGCAUGGAACUGGGGAAGAAAUUCAUUGUGUGCUAACUCUGGUUUUUAAAACGUGUUGCUAUUAACUGGGAUGAAAGUACUACUUUGAAAUCAGAGGUUAAUUUUCAGUUAUUUAAUCACCACAGAAGAAUGGGAUCAGACUGCAAGCGAGCAGGUGAAAUAGAAGAUCUGAAGGGGCGUCCUAGAAUAGCUAAAUAAUGCUGCAGCUGCGGCUUUUUAUAUUACAUAUUCACUUUCAUGAUUUGGGUUGAACAGCGUGGAGAACUUCAGUGUUUGGAAUUAUUUCAAGGGGGGAUGAAAGUGGAAACAGCAGUGGCUUUUUAAACAACUUUCAACACCCAAAGUGAGAACAAAGCAAUGUCUGUUCAAGCAGCAAACCUUUUCUCUGCAGGAUCCACAGUAGCAUGCACUGUCCAGGAAACAGUGCCUGUGGCAAGAGAUAUCUCUCAUGAGAUGUGGUCAAGGAGUGUCAGCUAAAAGUAUUUUGUGCUGGCAUAAAACGGUGUGUGAUGCUGACGGACAUUGUCUUCCCAGGCAUCGCAGAGCUCAGCGGUGUUUCAUCUCAAUCAGCAAGUGGUUGAAAGGCAAGGACAGAAACAGAACAUGUGACGAAAAAGAGAAAAUCUGUACAGAGCGAAUGCUUGGCAAGCAAGUACAAUUGUUCAGUGUAAUAGAGCAACAAAGAGAGAGACAAACUGGACAAAGGUAAAACAAACAAAAUAGAAUCAGCCUUCAUUAAGCUUCCACAUUUGUCAAUGGCAUGUACUUAAACUUUCUAAAUUAUGAUUUAUCUGUAUGCAGCAUGGUACUGUUUGUUUAGUGUUUGGUUAGAGUUUACUUACUCAGCAGAAAAGUAAAGUGGUGGCUAAGAUGUUAAAAUUCUAUUGGCAGCAUAUUUAUUAAUUCAUAUACCUCUCACAUUCCUGAGAAAGAGAGGGCACCAUGCAAGCUGGAAGGAAUAACACAUUCUUGACAAACAUUACCCAUUCAAUGUAACAGGCUUUUUGCAGUGUAUCAGUCAUCUUUGGAAAACAUAGCCUUUGGGCUUACUGUGUUGCACAAAAGCAAAUGCUGUCCCUCAGCCUGAAAAAGUGCCAAAGGAAAAGUGUUUCCCAAGGCCUGUUCUC
rnacentral:lncRNA from 1 species